GAUGAACGCUGGCGGCGUGCCUAAUACAUGCAAGUCGAGCGAACAGAUGAGGAGCUUGCUCCUCUGACGUUAGCGGCGGACGGGUGAGUAACACGUGGAUAACCUACCUAUAAGACUGGGAUAACUUCGGGAAACCGGAGCUAAUACCGGAUAAUAUAUUGAACCGCAUGGUUCAAUAGUGAAAGACGGUUUUGCUGUCACUUAUAGAUGGAUCCGCGCCGCAUUAGCUAGUUGGUAAGGUAACGGCUUACCAAGGCAACGAUGCGUAGCUGACCUGAGAGGGUGAUCGGCCACACUGGAACUGAGACACGGUCCAGACUCCUACGGGAGGCAGCAGUAGGGAAUCUUCCGCAAUGGGCGAAAGCCUGACAGAGCAACGCCGCGUGAGUGAUGAAGGUCUUCGGAUCGUAAAACUCUGUUAUUAGGGAAGAACAAAUGUGUAAGUAACUAUGCACGUCUUGACGGUACCUAAUCAGAAAGCCACGGCUAACUACGUG
rnacentral:rRNA from 1 species